UUUUGGACAAUGGGCGAAAGCCUGAUCCAGCAAUGCCGCGUGUGGGAAGAAGGCCUUCGGGUUGUAAACCACUUUUGUACGGAACGAAACGGUCUGCUUUAAUACAGUGGGCUAAUGACGGUACCGUAAGAAUAAGCACCGGCUAACUACGUGCCAGCAGCCGCGGUAAUACGUAGGGUGCGAGCGUUAAUCGGAAUUACUGGGCGUAAAGCGUGCGCAGGCGGUUAUAUAAGACAGUUGUGAAAUCCCCGGGCUCAACCUGGGAAUUGCAUCUGUGACUGUAUAGCUAGAGUACGGUAGAGGGGGAUGGAAUUCCGCGUGUAGCAGUGAAAUGCGUAGAUAUGCGGAGGAACACCGAUGGCGAAGGCAAUCCCCUGGACCUGUACUGACGCUCAUCACGCA
rnacentral:rRNA from 1 species